rnacentral:misc_RNA from 1 species
AUUGGCAAUUGUCAACUGAGGAAAAUGGGAUGGAAUUUAAAUGAGGUCUGGUUGGUGCUAUAAUCAUUAAUGAUUUCACAUAAGAGGAUUGAUUUUGUUCAAAUUGUUUACGAAGAUGGAUAAAGAGUGAUUGUAAUUUUAAGGUUGGCUAUAGCGCAAAAUAUGACAUCUGAAGUAAUACCAUUAGUAAUAUGGCAGGGAUGAGCAAAUGGAUGGUGAGUAAAUAUUAUGCUGAGGCAGUAUUUUGUGCCAAUAUUUUCAACAUUAUUUAAUUUUUUUUAAACAGAAAUCUGGGAAU